CAGCCGCCGCGGGAAUACGUAGGGUCCGAGCGUUGUCCGGAAUUAUUGGGCGUAAAGGGCUCGUAGGCGGUUUGUUGCGUCGGGAGUGAAAACCAGGUGCUUAACACCUGGCCUGCUUUCGAUACGGGCAGACUAGAGGCAUUCAGGGGAGAACGGAAUUCCUGGUGUAGCGGUGAAAUGCGCAGAUAUCAGGAGGAACACCGGUGGCGAAGGCGGUUCUCUGGGAAUGUUCUGACGCUGAGGAGCGAAAGUGUGGGGAGCGAACAGGAUUAGAUACCCCAGUAGUCCCUGUCUCUUAUAC
rnacentral:rRNA from 1 species